rnacentral:rRNA from 1 species
UACGGGGGGGGCAAGCGUUGUUCGGAAUUACUGGGCGUAAAGGGCGCGUAGGCGGGAUGGCAAGUCGGUCGUGAAAUCCCUCGGCUCAACCGAGGAACGUCGAUCGAUACUGCUGUUCUUGAGGAUUGCAGAGGAGACUGGAAUUCCCGGUGUAGCGGUGAAAUGUGUAGAGAUCGGGAGGAACACCGGUGGCGAAGGCGGGUCUCUGGGCAAUUCCUGACGCUGAGGCGCGAAAGCGUGGGGAGCAAACAGG